rnacentral:rRNA from 1 species
GUGGCAAGUCUUCCAGUAUGGGGAGCAAAACAGCUAUGGGUCAAGUCCGAUAUCUUUAGGAGAAGUCUUAUUGUGAGGGCGAGUUAUAUAACACCAUAGGACUGGCCGUCCCAUAUGAAAAGAUUAUAUUAGAAUUGAAUGAAGCUUUGUUUAUAUAUUGAUAAUGACAGUAUAUAUAUCGUGUCUUGACUAAUUGCGUGCCAGCAGUCGCGGUAAUACGUAAGAGACUAGUGUUAUUCAUCUUAAUUAGGUUUAAAGGGUACCCAGACGGUCAAUAUAGCUUAUAAAAUGUUAGUACUUGACUAGAGUUUUAUGUAAGAGGGCAGUACUUGAGGAGGAGAGAUGAAAUUUCGUGAUACCAAAGGGACUCUGUAAAGGCGAAGGCAGCCCUCUAUGUAAAAACUGACGUUGAAGGACGAAGGCACAGAGAACAAACAGGAUUAGAUACCCAAGUAGUCUUUGCAGUAAAUGAUGAAUGCCAUAGGUUAGAUUGAUCAAUUAUAGUCUAGGGUUAGUCUAGCAAACUAAUGCCCUAUGAUAUAAUUCAAAAUAUCUGGUCUAUAAAUGAAAGUGUAAGCAUUUCACCUCAAGAGUAAUGUGGCAACGCAGGAACUGAAAUCCUCGACAAUG